UCCUGGUUUCCCAGGCAGUCCCAUCAGAGUGCUCUAAUUAAAGAUAGCAACUGACAGCAAGGGUUGCGCUCGUUAAAGGACUUAACCGAACAUCUCACGACACGAGCUGACGACAGCCAUGCAGCACCUGUAUAUCUGUUCAAGCAAGCUUGAAAAACCACGUCUCUGUGGCGGUCAAAUAUAUGUCAAACCCAGGUAAGGUUCCUCGCGUAGUGUCGAAUUAAACCACAUGUUCCACCGCUUGUGCGGACCCCCGUCAAUUUCUUUGAGUUUUAAUCUUGCGACCGUACUUCCCAGGCGGAUCACUUAACGCGUUAGCUACAACACCGAGCCGAUAAAAUCAGCCCGACGCCUAGUGAUCAUCGUUUAGGGCGUGGACUAC
rnacentral:misc_RNA from 1 species